AACUUCAUGCGCAUUUCAACUCCUUCAUUCCUCUUGCAUGCAGCUUCAAUUCUUCUCAAAUCCUUCAUUCAAUCUUUCAAUCAGACGGUGAAAAUUGCAAGUUGAAUUCAAAUUAUUUUCUCAAAGGUUCACAAAGUUGUUGAGGCAGAACACAACCAUGUAGAGGCACAUAGCUGCAAAUUCCAAUUGCAGGAGCUAUGAGUUUGAAUCAUUCAUUCUCAAGAUAUCUUCACACGGAAUAAGGAGCAAGAGGAGAAGAUUUUGAGGCUUAAGCUCAUGACCGAGAAUAAGAAUAAAGAGGAUUUGUAUGCCAACGAGUGUUGUAUAGUUUGCAACUGAAGAAUCUUAUCAGUGUUCCAAAGUUGUGGUUUAGGACACCUUGACACUGUCUGUGAAAUGCUUCCUGUAAACCACGCUUCCCAGCUCAUUAUCAAUUUUCAACUUAGAAAUCUGCCAUACACAGGGCUACAAAUUUUUUUCGUAUUGGAAUGUGUGAUUAAGGUAAAUUGUUUCCGAAACUGUUCAAAGAAUGUGAGAUUUAUACUUUUCUUGACAAAGAUGUCAAAUAUGAUUAAAUGGAUUUAACUGUGAGAAUAAUUCUUUCCUCUGUUUACGGAGAAUUUUAUUUUUGGUUUCUAAUGAGGGAGAUAAUCCAGUUUUGGAAGUUUUGAUUUCGAAAUAAUCCAUGUUGUUUUUGUCUUUGUUGGAUGUUUCUAAAAGAAGUUGUUUUGAUUUUCUGGAUUUUGCUUAUGUUUUGGUUAUUUUUUCGAUUGUGUUUGGAUUUUCAUGUAAUCACCUUUUAAAAGGAUAAAUUUCGUGAAUAAUUGGUUCUGAUAGAUAGAAUGUAGAAGGUAUGAUCAUUGUAUGGUUUUUGUUGUAGCUUUUUUAACCUAAAAGGGAUUAUUUUUUCAGUUCUCUGGAUUUGAUUUUGGUAUUUUUUUUUUUCCUACAUUUUUUGGAUCAUAGGGUUAACAUCUUUGGAUUGGUGGUGUCUUUUUUCAGUUUCACUUCUUGAAUAUGGAUAUUUUCUUCUAGCUUACUUUGUUUCUUUGAUGGAUAAUUUGAUUCUAAGGAUAAAAGUGAUUAUUACUAUAAAAAUUCUUGGUUUGUGUUUAUGAUGGGGAGUAAUAGUAGAGGAAAAGAUGGUGAAGGAACUUCUGGGAUUAACAGGGUUUAUGAUGAUGAUGAUGAUAGCUAUGAAUGUUUACAAGAGAUGAAUUUUGUGCCUUAUGAAACACUUCUUCACAGUAACAUGAAUACCAAUGGUUUUGUAGCUCCCUUUGUCAUGCAACAGGAAAGUUCUUUGUUACGUGAUAUGGAUAAAAAUGAUAUAGAUGAAAGCUUCUUUGAUACAAAUGAUAUAAGAUGAAAGCUUCUUUGAUACUGUGAGUGAAUUCUUUGAUGUUACAAUUCAGAUUUUGGUUGUUAUGGCCUUACUUAGUUUGUUUGUAUCUAUUGAUAGGUGAUUGUCUUUUAGAUUUUGUGAAUUUUAUGGAGGUAAUUUGGUGUAAUAUGUUGGGUUCAUGGUCUGAAGAAUUUCAGCACAUGUUUCAGAAAUUUGCUUUGUUUUUCAUGUUAUUUGUCCGAAAUUCAUGAUAUGGAAAGGAUUAAUAUUCAUGAUAUGGAAAGGCCUUUGAUUA